rnacentral:sRNA from 12 species
UCCUGACAGCCCGCAUGGUGCGGUCUGACACUGGCCACGACAGGAGACAAACAUG